UACGUAGGGUGCGAGCGUUAAUCGGAAUUACUGGGCGUAAAGCGUGCGCAGGCGGUUCUGCAAGUCCGAUGUGAAAUCCCCGGGCUUAACCUGGGAACUGCGUUUGAAACUACGGAGCUAGAGUGCGGCAGAGGGGGGUGGAAUUCCACGUGUAGCAGUGAAAUGCGUAGAUAUGUGGAGGAACACCGAUGGCGAAGGCAGCACCCUGGGCCGACACUGACGCUCAGGCACGAAAGCGUGGGGAGCAAACAGG
rnacentral:rRNA from 1 species